rnacentral:rRNA from 1 species
CCUACGGGAGGCAGCAGCUAAGAAUCUUCCGCAAUGGGCGCAAGCCUGACGGAGCGAUGCCGCGUGAACGAUGAAGGUAGAGAUAUUGUAAAGUUCUUUUAUGAGUGAGGAAUAAGGCUGGUAGGUAAUGAUCGGCUGAUGACGUUAGCUCAUGAAUAAGCCCCGGCCAAUUACGUGCCAGCAGCCGCGGUAAU